rnacentral:rRNA from 1 species
AUAUGUAGGGGGCGAGCGUUGUCCGGAAUGAUUGGGCGUAAAGGGCGCGUAGGCGGCCCGGUAAGUCUGGAGUGAAAGUCCUGCUUUUAAGGUGGGAAUUGCUUUGGAUACUGUCGGGCUUGAGUGCUGGAGAGGUAAGUGGAAUUCCCAGUGUAGCGGUUAAAUGCGUAGAGAUUGGGAGGAACACCAGUGGGGAAGGCGACUUACUGGACUGUAACUGACGCUGAGGCGCGAAAGUGUGGGGAGCAAACAGGAUUAGAUACCCUGGUAGUCCACACUGUAAACGAUGAAUGCUAGGUGUAGGGGGUAUCGACCCCUUCUGUGCCGCAGUUAACACAAUAAGCAUUCCGCCUGGGGAGUACGGCCGCAAGGUUGAAACUCAAAGGAAUUGACGGGG